AUGUUUCCCUGGAAGAGAAGAUACCACAAUUGUAAAGGUGGUUUUCCUAAAGCCAAGCUGACCCAUUGGGUGUGCUGACCCCUGCAAUUGCCCGAAUGUGGGAAACUCGACUGCAUAAUUUGCAGUACUGGGGGGCUGUGUUUGCGCUCUCCCCUG